rnacentral:lncRNA from 1 species
UCUCCUUUAGUGAGUACAAGUGAAUGAUUUAGUACAAAUGACAUUAGGAAACAUUGUGGGAGAAUGUUCUCCUUUUAUAGAAGAGAGUUUCUAGCUUUGUUUUGACAUUGACACGUGUCGUGUUGUAAUUGGCUUCUGAUGUUGACAUGUGUCGCGCUAUGAUUGGCUUCUGAUGUCAACAAGUGUCACGCUAUGAUUGGCCUCCUGGUUUGAGGGAUUGGUCAAGUAUGGUACAAACAACAUCCAUAUGAAACAUGUACAUAAAUCCCAGCAGUGUCCAGAUGAAACUUUCUUUACCUUAAUGCCUCUGAUUUUGCUCACCAUCCAUCACAUAAGCUUCAAAUCCAACAAGCUUGAGAUCAAAUAUCUUAGCCUAAUUAGUCAAGAUCCCCAAAUUGAGCGAAUUAACAAUAGCCCUCUAAACUUAUUCACAACAUUGGGCUCCAUUCACUGAGCAUGUUAGCUCGAUCCAAUUUAUUAUUAAGAUUGGGGUGAAGUGCUGAUUAAGUCUAUGAACUAUCAUCUUAGUGAAAAUUAGAUUCCUGAAUUAUGUUUUCUAUAAAAUAAGUCCCUAAAUUCAUUAAAAAUUGCUAAUUUCAUCCCUACUAUUAUAUUCAAAGUUAUUUUAUCCAAUUUUUCGUCAACUUAAGUCACUUGAUACACUUUAGAGUGUGUUACCGUUCUUUUCUCGCCUGUAAACCCUUAACAUUUCAUAUAAGUUGCGAAUCUAACGUCUAAUUUACCCUUCUAUGUAAAAUUAUCAAUCUACCAUCCAAUGUGUAUCACAUACAAAUAACGUGACUUAAGUUGACGGAAAAUUGAAUAGUAGUCUCAAAUGUAAUACUAGGGAUGUAAUUGGCAUAUAUUUUUAAUUUUAGGACUGAUUUUUCUUAAAAAAAAAUAGUUUAGGGACCUAAUUUUCACUUAAGUGAUAAUUCAGGGACUAAAUUGGCAAUUAACCCUUAAGAUUGGGAGAUUUAUUGUGGGGAUGAAAGUAGGGGUAGGCAAACGGGUCCACGACCCACGGGUCGAGAUGGGUCCAUGCGAUUUAAGACGGGUACAGGGCGGG